rnacentral:lncRNA from 1 species
CUCAUGUGAUUAUGGAGGCUGGCAAGUCUGAACUCCAUAGGCAGGCCAGCAGGCUGGAAAUUCAGGUAAGAGCUGAUGUUUCCAUCCGGUAUCUGAAUGCCCCAGGGCAGCAGGCUGGAAACUCAGGCAGGGUUUCUAUGUUUCAAUCUUGAGGCAGAAUUUCUUCUACUUUGAGAACCCUCAGUCUUUGCUCUUAAGACCUUCAACUGUUUGGAUGAAGUCCACCCACAUUGUGGAGCAUGGUCUGCUUUAAUCAAAGCCUACUGAUUUAAAUGUUAAUUAUGCCUAAAAAAUACCUUCACAGCAAAAUCUAGACCAGUGUUUGACCGAAUAACUGGGUACCAUGGCCUAGGCAAGUUGACACGUAAAUUAACCAUCACACUGAUUAAAUAAUUACACUAAGCAAACAUUUUCACCUGUUGACUUGAUUUGGUUUGUGUUGUUAUAUCAAUUUUGCUUGGAACAGAGAUUUUAGGACAUGCUGAAUCGUGUGUUAUAAACAUGAAGUUAAUUCGUUCUUUGUGGACAUGAUUUUUCAGUGCUGCUGAUGCCUAUUGUGGAUCAUUCCAAAGAUUUGGGGGCAUGCCGGAGUAGAAGGUGCAAGAAACACUGUAAAAGAAAUCCAGUUUCUGUCCUCAUUCUCUGCCUCCUGGUAUGGCAUGAUGCAGAUGUUCAAGGGAGCGAGUCAUCAGCUGAAAGCAAAUUGUUGAGCUCUCUUACACUCCAAAGUCUAAAGAGAUGAAGUCCGUUAUAAUUUCCAGCAUCCAUUGCCACCAGUAUUCUUCCCACUGCUGUUUCCACCUACACUAUGGGUACUAAGUCCCUAAGAUGCAACGUGCUACCUCCUGCCUCCUUUGCUGCACUGGUGCAAUGCUGUUCCCGGAGAGUCAUCACCUCAGGUGGGUGUUGGUAAUGGUGGAAAUCAGAAAGUCAGCUGCUUCUAGAAAUAGCAGUCAAGAUGAAGAGAGACAACUAAAUAUAUUCUGGCUGGUAAAGAUCUUGUCUUUCUAAACUUUGGAGCACAGGGGCCCAAAGCACUUCAUGUUAUAGAAUUAAAAAUGAUAAACCCACAUUUUAAAAUUCAACUAAAAGAAUUUUUAACAGAAAGAAUACAAAUUGUGGUAGACCUGUCUUUGAAAUAUUGAGG